CUAUUUAUAAUGGUUUGUCACACAUGUAGAGAAGCAAAUGGUGAACCGUUAAAGUUUCAAGUGAGCUAAUAGGCUCAAUGCUUGUCUAGUGAAUGCUUUCAAACUAAAUCAUCUAUCGUGAUGCUUCCAGAGACCAAACGUUGUGUGUCUAUCAAGGGUGUCGCCUAUCUGUCCAGAUUCAGUUCUUCCCCUUCAAUGCACCAUAAUAUUUUUAGUUAUCA
rnacentral:lncRNA from 1 species